GAUGAACGCUGGCGGCGUGCCUAAUACAUGCAAGUCGAACGCAUUGAGAAAAGUGCUUGCACUUUUCAAUUUGAGUGGCGAACGGGUGAGUAACACGUGGGCAACCUACCUGAUAGCGGGGGAUAACGAGUGGAAACAUUCGCUAAUACCGCAUAACAAUAGAGAAGGCAUCUUCUUUAUUUAAAAGGCGCUUUCAAGCGUCACUAUCAGAUGGGCCCGCGGUGCAUUAGUUAGUUGGUGGGGUGAAGGCCUACCAAGACGAUGAUGCAUAGCCGAGUUGAGAGGCUGAUCGGCCACAUUGGGACUGAGACACGGCCCAAACUCCUACGGUAGGCUGCAGUAGGGAAUCUUCCACAAUGGACGAAAGUCUGAUGGAGCAACGCCGCGUGUGUGAUGAAGGCUUUCGGGUCGUAAAGCACUGUUGUAUGGGAAGAAAUGCUAGGCUAGGAAAUGAGCUUAGUUUGACGGUACCAUACCAGAAAGGGACGGCUAAAUACGUGCCAGCCGCCGCGGUAA
rnacentral:rRNA from 1 species